AAUAAGAUGCCUGACAAAAAGGGCUAUUUUGAUAGAAUAGAUAAAGUAUUAUUAUACUCUUAUUA
rnacentral:tRNA from 1 species